rnacentral:lncRNA from 1 species
AAGCAUCACCCCAGCUUCCUGCCUCGCUGGUCCCCACAGCCUGCCCGUGUCCCUGUUUCUCUUUUCCUUUCCGUCCUCCUACAAGGAUGCUCCAACCCUGCAUGAUCUCAUCUUGUGAUCCUCACCUUCAUGACUUCCGCAAGAACCCUUAUUCCAAACAAGGCCACAUGCUGAGAGUCCAGGCUUUUAUAUGGCAGCUGAUCACCAGAAAAGCAAGGAUGAUUGGAAGCUUGGGAUGUUCAAGCCUACUCUCCAUCCUCUGAGUAAGGAGUCAGUUCUCCAUUAAAAAGAAAACAACAACUUCUCGAGCAUACUGUUAAAGCAUAUACUGUUAAAGGAUACAUCAAGACACUGCCAUUGCACAUGGCAGAUUGAACACAGGUAUUUAUCUCCACCUUCUCCUACAACCUGCUGAGUAGGAGUUAAAGGUAUAUAAUGGUAUUCCAUCAGGCAAAGCAAAUAGAAGAUGCAUGAAAGAUGUCAACAGAUAUUUGAAGAUGAAAAACAGAAUGAGCAGGUUGGCUUAGCUGACCUGGAGGGGCUGAGCUCUUGGGUUACAAGGAGGAAGCCCUUGGGAAGGCGGGGAACUUUGGAAGGUGAAAAAGUUGAC